rnacentral:rRNA from 1 species
UACGGAGGGAGCUAGCGUUGUUCGGAUAUACUGGGCGUAAAGCGCACGUAGGCGGCGCAGCAAGUCAGGGGUGAAAUCCCGGAGCUCAACUCCGGAACUGCCUUUGAAGCUGCAGUGCUAGAAUCCUGGAGAGGCGAGUGGAAUUCCGAGUGUAGAGGUGAAAUUCGUAGAUAUUCGGAAGAACACCAGUGGCGAAGGCGACUCGCUGGACAGGUAUUGACGCUGAGGUGCGAAAGCGUGGGGAGCAAACAGG